UACCAGCACCCCGAGUGGUCGGGACGAUUAUUGGGCCUAAAGCAUCCGUAGCCGGUUUUACAAGUCCUCCGUUAAAUCCAGCUGCUUAACAGAUGGGCUGCGGAGGAUACUAUAAGGCUAGGAGGCGGAAGAGGCAAGCGGUACUCAGUGGGUAGGGGUAAAAUCCUCUGAUCCGUUGAAGACCACCAGUGGCGAAGGCGGCUUGCCAAUACGCGCUCGACGGUGAGGGAUGAAAGCUGGGGGAGCAAACCGG
rnacentral:rRNA from 1 species